rnacentral:rRNA from 1 species
AAUGGGCGAAAGCCUGACGCAGCAACACCGCGUGGAGGAUGAAGGCUUUCGAGUCGUAAACUCCUUUUCUGAGGGAAUAGAUAGGAAGGUACCUCAGGAAUAAGUAUCGGCUAACUACGUGCCAGCAGCCGCGGUAAAACGUGGGAUGCGAGCGUUAUCCGGAUUUAUUGGGCGUAAAGCGCAUGCAGGCGGUUUUUUAAGUCGGACGUGAAAGCUCCUGGCUCAACUAGGAGAGGCCGUUGAAACUGGAAAACUUGAGGAUGGUAGAGGUAAGUGGAAUUCCCGGUGUAGUGGUGAAAUGCGUAGAUAUCGGGAGGAACCCAGUGGCGAAGGCGGCUUACUGGGCCAUUCCUGACGCUCAGAUGCGAAAGCUAGGGGAGAGAACGGGAUU